rnacentral:rRNA from 1 species
UACGAAGGGGGCGAGCGUUGUUCGGAAUCACUGGGCGUAAAGGGCGCGUAGGCGGCUUUGUAAGUCGGGGGUGAAAGCCUGUGGCUCAACCACAGAAUUGCCUUCGAUACUGCAUGGCUUGAGACCGGAAGAGGUAAGUGGAACUGCGAGUGUAGAGGUGAAAUUCGUAGAUAUUCGCAAGAACACCAGUGGCGAAGGCGGCUUACUGGUCCGGAUCUGACGCUGAGGCGCGAAAGCGUGGGGAGCAAACAGG